rnacentral:tRNA from 1 species
GCACAGGUGGCGGAAUGGUAGACGCGUAAGGUUGAGGUCCUUAUUGGUAGUUUUCCAGUGAGAGUUCAAAUCUCUUCCUGUGCA